CAGCCCUCAGAACGAACGCUGGCGGCAUGCCUAACACAUGCAAGUCGAACGAGACCUUCGGGUCUAGUGGCGCACGGGUGCGUAACGCGUGGGAAUCUGCCCUUGGGUUCGGAAUAACACUUAGAAAUUUGUGCUAAUACCGGAUGAUGACGAGAGCCCAAAGAUUUAUCGCCCAGGGAUGAGCCCGCGUAGGAUUAGCUAGUUGGUGAGGUAAAGGCUCACCAAGGCGACGAUCCUUAGCUGGUCUGAGAGGAUGAUCAGCCACACUGGGACUGAGACACGGCCCAGACUCCUACGGGAGGCAGCAGUGGGGAAUAUUGGACAAUGGGCGAAAGCCUGAUCCAGCAAUGCCGCGUGAGUGAUGAAGGCCUUAGGGUUGUAAAGCUCUUUAACCCGGGAUGAUAAUGACUGUACCGGGAGAAUAAGCCCCGGCUAACUCCGUGCCAGCAGCCGCGGUAAU
rnacentral:rRNA from 1 species